rnacentral:misc_RNA from 1 species
UCUCCGUUGGUGAACCAGCGGAGGGAUCAUUACCGAACUUGCAAGACUCCUACAACCCUGUACACUUAACUUUUUGCCCGUUCCUUCGGCGGGUGUCUCGGAAGGGGUUAACGCUCCCCGAGACGCUCAAUCAGCUGGCGGCCUUCUAUACUCUGUCUCUUUACGUUCGCAUCUCGAGUAUAAUUAUACAAAUUAAAACUUUCAUUAACGGAUAUCUUGGAUCUCGCAUCGAUUCGGAACGCCACAGAUCGGAAAACCAGUCACUUACGACCAAGUCAC